GAGAUGGCCAAGGCUUAGGAAUAAGCCAGUGAACGAUGCGUAAUCUAGAAGACCUUGGUUUCCUGGGGGAUGUACAGGUUUGUGCUGACUGGGGUCCCACGCAGGGAUUCAGGGGGGUCAGUGUGGAGACUGUGUUUGGUGACACCAUGGUCUCUUCCUCCCAACCCACAGUGGUUAUAUAUCAGUAGGGGGGAAAGGGGAUUUCAGUGGUUUUGCGAGCCAGACAGAAGAUUCUCCAGAGGCUGAAUGGUGUGGUUUGCCAACAGGAAUUUUGGUUUGAUUUUGUUUUCCUUGUUGUUUUUUAAGUUUUUUUUUAAAAGUUAAUUAAACCUUUUGGUUAGAAUCAUUGAAUUAUAUGAAGUGCAUACAGCCAUCUCUAUUCUUCCCCCAUCCAAAUACAAAGCCACUGGGGAGUCACAGCAGAGGCCCCAAAGGCUGACAUGCGGUCUCUGAUGUCCUGGUGUACGGCAUAGUUGCUGCUUUGGUUCUGUAAGGACCCAACCAGAGAGAUUUCUGCUCUAACCAACACUGGAAUCUGCAAAACAUGUUGAAAACACUUGUUAAAAAGAUAAUGUUGCAAAAAAAGUUGAGAAAUGUCACUCUGAAUUAUUGUUAUGACUGAAAGGUUGUCCAUCAAGACCUCUGUGUGUUUUAGUUUCUAUUUAUUUUAAUCCCCAGACUUUUUAAAAGUGUGAUAAUGAGGAGAUGUUUGUUCCUAAGACCCACCAGCUCCCGAAAACAAUGAAACCCAGAGUUUAGGAAUCUGAAAAUGAGGCUGAAUCAGCUUUUUUUUCUAAGGGAGGGCAUUUGACUUCAUUCCGUCAUGAUGCUCCUCCACACAUGCUUCCCUUUUAGAAUUAAGGUUGAAGUGGAAUAUCCCUUUCACUUCUGGGAAUCAUCAUAGACUGUAGAAGUAGUGGGUGCUGGGACCAAAUGGAGUCUGUCCCAUACCCCAAAAACAAGAUCAACAUGAAACAAUCAUGCCCUGUCCUCUCAGGUGAUGUGAGAUGAGACAAGGCUCACUGCUUUUUCCUGGUCCAUUUCAGCCCAUGGUUAACAUGCAAUGGCCCAGGUCAUGGUUGACAUGCAAUGGCCCAGGUCAUGGUUGACAUGCAAUGGCCCAGGUCAUUAAUUGACUUUAGGAUUCAGAACGUUGAAAUAUUUAUUGACUGUGAGUUUCCUUGAAUGUACUGCACUUAAAUUACUGAGAUGUCUAAUGCCUUGUGGGACUCUAGUGAACAGAGAAAAGAAAAAUUGGAUCAGUGCAGCAAGUGUAGCAGUCCUCUGGUCCUAAAUUAGCAUUUCUUUUGUCAGUCAAAUUUCACUGGUAAAUUGAAUUUAUUAACUGGCGAGAGCUAGGGCUUUGUCACGGAUAACAGUAGAGAUUUAUGAAGUGCAAUUAUUAUGACCGUAUUAACAUUUUCUCUGAGCUUACACCAAAAAAUGUAAACUACAGUUGUGAAUACAUUCCCAAUGUACCACGUCCCCAAUCCCUAUCCUUUUCUGUUUUGAGGUGUAAAAUAAAUCUCAUUUAAGAAUAUAUUCAGAAGCCACAUCUUGGCUGUGAGGUCUGUCAUUAUUAUCAUUUUUUUAAUUGUCUUAGAGAAUAUGGACUCAAGUCAAAUAUCAUUGAUCAUGGAGUUGGUGGUGUUUUUGGGAGUCUUGUCGUGUUGUAGAUUGAGCAGAGGUUUGCGUGUGUGGAAUGUGUUUUAAAAGGCUUUAUACAUGAACUGUGAUCAUUAUGUAACCUCUGCCAUCAAACUAGGGUUUAUAAAUGAAUGGCUAAUCAUUUAACUUUCCCACAAUGGGUUGAAAUAGCCUAAGCUGAGUUACAUCCAUAACACUGUUCACAUACCACUGUAAAAAUAAAUCCUAUCCCAGGAUUUGAAAAUAUUCCAACUAUUCGUCCUUAAAUGUAGUGGAGCUCUGAAAAGGUGACCACUAACUGGGAAACAAAAACUGUGACUUUCAUCAUUACACACCUCAGCGCGCCCGCAAACAUCUUUUGCGUUUUCCCCUCAAGAUUUUUAAUCAGAACCUUGAGCCUUAAAUGAUUAUGCUAACAGUGUUUAUGGAAGUCGUUGGAAGGCUUAUGAAGCUCUUAGACCAAGCAGUAGACUUGCACUUGUUCAGCAAGUAAGCCCCCGUAACCAUCUUGUUUCAGCAGCUUCAUUUGCCUGCCGCAGUUCUGUUUCUGGCAUCUUUUUUUUCUUCUUUCAGUCUAAAUAGUUGGACCGCUUUACAAAAGAUUCAACAGUUUCCAAAUCCCCUUAUUUUUGGCUCCUGUAUCAAAGCAUUAAACCAGGAUGUUGAAAGAGACUUGAGGCAGUAUGUGCAGCCACUAGUGUCAGCGGUUUCCCACAGGGACAGGUUAAUAUUUCCCACAGGGACAGGUUAGCAUUUCCCACAGGGACAGGUUAGCAUUUCCCACAGGCACAGGUUAGCAUUGGGCCUUCUAUCUAAUGGCAGUAUUGGAUAAGGCUGGCUGUCAUACUGUAGAAUUUGGGUGCAAUUCUGACCGAACUGUUACGCUAUUACCUUGUUUUUUUAGAGAGUAAGGAGAUUAUCUUAAGGGACAGAAGAGUCUGUAAACUCUUAAUAAAUGUUAUACUAUCCAUUAAGCUAUUGUGUAUUCCUUCUCAUGUUUUGAUGUCUUAAAUAUUGACAGUACAUUUGAAAAGAUAUGUAAUCGUUGGACAAUUGAACAGAUAUGGUACGUUGGAAAGAAACCCGUCUGGACUGUAAUUCUCUCCUUGCCCUCCAAUGUCACUGUGGCUGACACUCAGGCUGACCACCCCGGUCCUGAGGACUUAGCAUGGGGACCAAUCGUCUUUUCGUCUGUCAGACCUGUCACCUUCGGAGGAAUGUCUCAGAGCACCCUUCCAGGCGGUUAUCUGUUCUAGCCGGGCCUGUCAUCUUCUGUCUUUCACUUCAGGGAAGCUGUUUUUGUGUGUUGAGACAGCGUGUGUAAGGACUGGAUGCCUAAGCACUGUUUUCUUCUGUCCGGAACCUGCGCAGAUCUGUUCAAGCUUAAAUCUUAAUACAGUAUAAAGCUUUGGGCUCCACAGUGGGGCGUUAUCGUAUCGACCGGUCGUUAGGUUGAUUCGUUUAAUGUCAAUUUGCAGCCCAGACAAUUUUUCAGGGGAUUGAGGAUAACAGUGUGGUUUGAGUUAAACAGUCCAAACGUUUUUGGAUGUAUAGUUCAUUUUAUCAAUGAAAAUAGGCAGUGUUACCAUUGGUCAGCAAAUUGGAUUGUUAAUACCAGAAGACUUUUCCAGUAUCAUGCUGAUGGGAUAUGAGGCCUUUUCUGUGGUCACAACCUCCCCAAAUCUCUGUCCCUGAACUCUGAAUAAAGAGCGGCUAAUUUUGCUGCAACAUAUCCUACCUGCUGUCGCCCCCAUUUUAGGAUGUCUUGGCUCCAGCUUGGGACGAUGGACGCCCAGCCCAUGCUAGCAUAAUGGAAUUACAUUUUCCAUAAGACUCGCGAGUGCCUAUACAUGGGUCCGUCCGUGCCGGGCCAUUCUCAGCCACCGUGGCCUGAUGACAAAUGGCGUAUCAUUAUCUAGGUCUUCCCUCCUCCAGUGCCACAGGGUUAACCGGUGCUCAGGCAGAGCCAGGUUCUAGAGGGAUGAGGCCAUGUGGAGGAGGAGGAGGAGGGGCUCACUGAACCACAGCCUCUGCAGCUUCAUCUCAGAAGGCCUUCCUCCUCCACACCACCUUGGGCUCCAAGCCGGCGAAGGCUCCUUUUGAAAGAUAGCCUGCCGUUGGAGGGGGAUUUGUUUCUGUUGGAUUGUGCGUGGCUGUAGCUGGGUGGCUGGCUAGCUGAAGGGCCCUGCCUGCUCUCUGUGACAGAUCAAACGGAGAGGGAGGGCAGGGAGAGGAGAGGCAGAGCGGGUCAGAGCAGGCCCUUGGAGCAUUUAGUAAUCAGGAUAAUUGGCACGUUGGGGCUGCUGCUGAUGGUUUCAGCCUUCCAGCCAGUGACUGCCCCCAUACAACUGAUGGUUUCAGCCUUCCAGCCAGUGACUGCCCCCAUACAACUGAUGGUUUCAGCCUUCCAGCCAGUGACUGCCCCCAUACUGCUGAUGGUUUCAGCCUUCCAGCCAGUGACUGCCCCCAUACAAAUGAUGGUUUCAGCCUUCCAGCCAGUGACUGCCCCCAUACUGCUGAUGGUUUCAGCCUUCUAGCCAGUGACUGCCCCCAUACUGCUGAUGGUUUCAGGCUUCCAGACAGUGACUGACACCAUACUCACAUGGGCCCCCAACGUACAGUGUGUCUCUCGGGAUGUCAUGACAACUGGUUAUUCACAUCCAAUACCUUUUGCCAUCUAUCAAGGACUCUGGUCAGGAUUCUAGCAAACUGCACCAUACCGCUAUCUAACUAUCUUAUUUUCACUGGUAAAAGCUGGAGAUGGCUCAACUGUUAAGCUGGGAUUCGUGCAAAUAUGCCAUAGAAUUUCUUCUAGAUGUGAUAGAAUUGAGUGGGUUGCCCUGUUAUUAGUUAUAGAUUUUUUUACAGAACCCAAGACCAGUAUCUGAGUUAAUUUGACCCUAAGAAAAAGCUACUGCGAGAGUAAAUUAAUGUGGGCUGGAUUGAAUCGAGUCGUAGAUUACAUUCGUCAAGUGCAGUGUGAUGUUGACACAGUGCAGAGUGAUUGGAACAGUGCAGUGGGAUAAUGGCACAGUGAAGUGCGAUUGACUUGCAGCAGUGAUGUUGGAACAGUGCUGUUUGAUAUGCAUGGUGCAUUGUGAUAGGCACAUACAGUGUAAUGUUGGCACAGUGCAGUAUUUCUGGGCCUGCGCAGUGUGAUUGGCAUGGUGCAGUGUGGUGUUCGUGUGAUUGUCACCGUGCAGUAUGAUGUUGGCACAGUGCAGUGUGAUUGACACGAUGCAGUGUGAUUGGCACAGUGCAGGGUAAUUGGCACAGUGCAGGGUAAUUGGCAUGGUGUAGGGUAAUUGGCACAGUGCACUAUGAAAGGCACAGUGCAGUGUGAUGUUAGUUCAGCACAGUAUGAAUACCAGGCUAGGUCUUUAUCUCAUUGAAGGACAGUCUAGAGUGAGCUAUACCAAUUCAUUCAAGUUUUAUCACUUGCCAUUUGUUCCUGGAAGGGCAGAGGUCAGUAGAUGUAUAACAGCCUCCUGCUCUUACACUCCAGAUAGAAUGACCCCCACAUCUUUUGUGCUAUCAUCCUGAGGCCAUUUGCUAUAGACAAAAGUUCAUCUCACAGAAUGUCUGUUGAUGGAUUCCUCCAGCGCUCCAUAUCUGAGGCAUCUCAAGGGCACCUUGUUUCGAAGGAGGAGGCCAGCGGGAGAGAGGGUGUAGAGGGCUGGACUCUUGUUGACUGGCUGUCAAGAUCUCUCAGUAAAUCCCCCAGCCCCACCCCUGGCUUUAAGUCCAUGGUGCCCUAUGUGCUGAUGUGUACUGCGUGCCUUUGAUCGUCCUGCCCUGAUGAACUGGGGUAUGGAGCAGACCAGUGAAACGCUCAACCCUCCCAUCCUGAAGAAAGUAUGUUUGCUGUAGAGACAUGGCUGUCUCUGUCUGCUGCCCUCUGGACACGGAGAUGACACGCCCCGUCUUCCUGCACACUGCUGUGGUCCCUAAUUCCACAGACCUGUGAUAUCUCCAUUUCAACACAGUCCGCUCCAUUUGGCUCUGUUGUCUCUUUUAAGUAACGCGUGGUUUCUGCUGAUCAUUAUGAUUUGCCUGAAGAAGCUUGUAGGGGAUUACACACGUUUAGGUUCCACUGCUGAUUUCCUCCCUGAUAGGCCAGGGUUCUACAGUCAACAGAUUGACGUCUGUUUGAAUGCACAGGGCUUUUAACUUUAGCGUGAUCUUUUUUUCGAAAUCAUAACGAAAUCUUAACAUCUUCAAGUAAUACGCAUGCACCGCAGAUCAGUGAUCAAGCAGUGCAGCUGGGCACAAUGUCAGGUGCCUAAGGAGUACUUCCACAAUGUUACAACUUUAUGACAGAAAUGCUAGUAGGGCCCUCCAAUCUAUCAUCUCUUUCAUAGGGUGGCAAUAAUGCUUGAUCCCAUCUAAAACAUGAGAAGUCUGGGGAUCUUUUGUUUGUUCUAAAUUGAUCAGUUUAUUGUUUGUGUGGCACUCCGAAUGUCCCUGUAGACAAACAGGACAAAUUCUAAAAUGAUCUGCAAAGCGCCAAUGCUGCCAAAAUCUUUGGGUGCCACAACCUUGAGAAAAUAAUAUAUAUGGAAAUGGGAAAUCUAUAAAGCAUCUCUCCUAUUGUCCUCCCUGCAGUGUUGUAUUUAUGUUUGGAAAUGAUUUUGUCUCCUCAGGAUGAAAAAUGUGUAAGGAAUAUCUUAGUUUCUUUUUUUUUUUUUUUGGUAGAAAUAAUAAUAUAUAUGAAUCUUGGAUUUCAAAAAAAAUAUGAAAAGCUGCAAAAUCCUUUAGCCUUGGGAUUUUCAACUUUUGAAUGUGCCUACAGCAAAGCAUCCCUGUGAUUGCUUACCCCCCUCUACAACCUCCCCUAAUCAAUCCACCCCCCCUCUACAACCACAUCCGAUCUGCUGAGACUGUCGCUGUACGUCCCCCCUCCGAACCCCCAUCCGAACCCCCGAACCCCCACUCAAUCCCUCCUCCUGCCCAGGUACCAUAAUAGUGAAUCAUCUAAUAUAACUGUUCCCUGCUUUUUUGUCUAUCUCAGGACUGAAAUUUCUUUAUUUUGAUGUAGAUGGUUAAUUUAUUCUCUCCUAUGUUCUGUAAUAUUGUUUGACAUGAAGUAAAUAAAGCGGAUGAUGACUUCUA